GACGAACGCUGGCGGCGUGCUUAACACAUGCAAGUCGAACGCUGAAGCUCAGCUUUUGUUGGGUGGAUGAGUGGCGAACGGGUGAGUAACACGUGAGUAACCUGCCUCCUUCUUUGGGAUAACGCCCGGAAACGGGUGCUAAUACUGGAUAUUCACUGGUCUUCGCAUGGGGGUUGGUGGAAAGGGUUUUUCUGGUGGGGGAUGGGCUCGCGGCCUAUCAGCUUGUUGGUGGGGUGAUGGCCUACCAAGGCUUUGACGGGUAGCCGGCCUGAGAGGGUGACCGGUCACAUUGGGACUGAGAUACGGCCCAGACUCCUACGGGAAGCAGCAGUGGGGAAUAUUGCACAAUGGGCGCAAGCCUGAUGCAGCGACGCCGCGUGGGGGAUGGGGGCCUUCGGGUUGUGAACCUCUGUCGCUCAUGGUCAAGCCGCAACAAUGGUUGUGGUGAGGGUAGUGGGUAAAGAAGCGCCGGCUAACUACGUG
rnacentral:rRNA from 1 species